rnacentral:rRNA from 1 species
UACGAAGGGUGCAAGCGUUAAUCGGAAUUACUGGGCGUAAAGCGUGCGUAGGUGGUUGUUUAAGUCUGUCGUGAAAGCCCUGGGCUCAACCUGGGAAUGGCGAUGGAUACUGGGCGACUGGAGUGCGGUAGAGGAUGGCGGAAUUCCCGGUGUAGCGGUGAAAUGCGUAGAGAUCGGGAGGAACAUCCGUGGCGAAGGCGGCCAUCUGGACCAGCACUGACACUGAGGCACGAAAGCGUGGGGAGCAAAC